CGUGUAGGCGGAUGGUCAAGUUUGCUGUGAAAGCGCCUGGCUUAACCGGGCGAGGUCGGCGAAAACUGGCCGUCUGGAGGGCGGUAGAGGGGGGUGGAAUUCCCGGUGUAGUGGUGAAAUGCGUAGAGAUCGGGAGGAACACCUGUGGCGAAGGCGGCCCCCUGGGCCGCACCUGACGCUGAGACGCGAAGGCGUGGGGAGCGAACG
rnacentral:rRNA from 1 species